AUACCUUUCUCGGCCUUUUGACUAAGGUCAAGUGUAAUAUCUGUUCUUAUCAGUUUAAUAUCUGAUAUGUGGACCAUGUGCCCACAACGAUAUUAAAUUUAUUUUUUGUGAGGAGGGACCACCGCAAUGGCUUGCCAUUGGGUCCCUCAGAUGUCGCCCAGUGCGUUGCACUAUUGACUGGGCAGGCGCACCCCAA
rnacentral:snRNA from 1 species